CUUAGUUGAAUCCACCAAAUGCAAAGCAGAAGUUUCGAAUAUUAAAUAUUAAACUUUGCUGAAGAUAUUGAUACUUGUCGCACGAUUAUCUACGCUCAUGGCUAUUGUAAUCAUGAAGAGAGGCUGUUGGAUGCCUCUUAAUUUCAACUCGUACAGCGUCUAUUGUCUUUGUUUUUGGACCCUUCCUAAUACUAUCAAACGUUUCAAAACUGUUGGGAAUGGUUGCAUGUCAACAUACCAAAGGCUCAUAUAUACUUAACCUUCCUACUUUCUACACCGAAAGUCCAGGAACUUGACGUCUGCAUCUGCUAAAGGUCCUAUGAAAAGAGCAAGUACGGCAAUUCGAAAUUCGAUAA